UGCACGUGCUUCCCAUGCGUUGUGUUUAGGGUUGGUGAUUAAGACAAAUGGUUGUGCGUUCAUAAGAUGUCUGUCUCUGGAAAGUUUGUUAACGUUAUUCUUCCUAUCCAAACUGAAAGUUCAGGUUCCCCUACUUUUUGUAGCGUAUAUAAU